UUUCAGUCUGUUGCCUGCCUUCCCUGGAUCCAACACCCAAGGAAUUGAACUGAGGCUUGGUGGCAAGAGUCUUUAUCUUCUGAGCCACUCAACGGAGGACAGAUAACAUGCAAGGAGGCCAUGGGUUCUACAUCCAGCACCAAAGGAUUAAAAUGAAAAUGAAAGAAAACUUACUUCUCGCUUUCUCCACUGGGCUGCUUGGUCUCUAAGCAAAUGUGUUGUCAUAGCAUGGAAACCUGCCCAAAUUUCUUGGGUUGCUCAAGGUACAUGUAAGGAAGUAUCUACAUCCAAGUUGUAUGAAUGGCUCAUCUUCAGAUACAAUGGGAACAGAAGGUACAUUUCCUGUGACAUUUUUUUUCUGUUUUCCUCCAUAUGCACAGCCACAUGACCAUGAAUAACUGAAAUAUUUGAGAACAGGGUAGCACAUGCUUGUCUCUCAAGGGAAGCAGGCUCUUCAGCCUCCCUUUGCCAACCACCCAGCCGGAGGGUGUGUCCUCAAACUUCCCCAGAUUUGUUGUCUGUCGUUGCUGUGGCACAGUGUCCUUGUUAUCAGUCUCAGAUGACUUAUGCAAACUUCACAGUAAUGUCAUCUGGGGAAAUGGUCAAGCCGUGGAUAAGUAUAUAUCCCACAUGUCUUCUCAAGCUACGGCUGUUUAGAGGUAGGGGCUCACUGCGUUAGGCUUGUUAAGUUGUUAUUUUAAAAAAAGAUGUUUCCAGGACAACAGUCCUGUCUCAUGACACUCUACUGCUUGCUCUUUGGCCACUGCAGUGCAGACGUAGCUUGUGUUUUACAUCGUUGAAAAUUGCUUGU
rnacentral:lncRNA from 1 species